GACUCGGUUGAGCGGUUGGCCGCAAGGUCGGACUGCUCUGACUGAGUCUUUACUUCUGGAGAACCAGUAUGCCCUUUACUGGGUGUGCUGGCAAUCCAGGACUUUUACCUUGAAAAAAUUAGAGCGUUUAAAGCAGGCCUAUGCUUGAAUACAUUAGCAUGGAAUAAUAGAAUAGGACUUUGGUUCUAUUUUGUUGGUUUCUAGAAUCGAAGUA
rnacentral:rRNA from 1 species